rnacentral:rRNA from 1 species
UGUGAGCUCGAUGAGUAGGGCGGGACACGUGGUAUCCUGUCUGAAUAUGGGGGGACCAUCCUCCAAGGCUAAAUACUCCUGACUGACCGAUAGUGAACCAGUACCGUGAGGGAAAGGCGAAAAGAACCCCGGCGAGGGGAGUGAAAAAGAACCUGAAACCGUGUACGUACAAGCAGUGGGAGCACGCUUAGGCGUGUGACUGCGUACCUUUUGUAUAAUGGGUCAGCGACUUAUAUUCUGUAGCAAGGUUAACCGAAUAGGGGAGCCGAAGGGAAACCGAGUCUUAACUGGGCGUUAAGUUGCAGGGUAUAGACCCGAAACCCGGUGAUCUAGCCAUGGGCAGGUUGAAGGUUGGGUAACACUAACUGGAGGACCGAACCGACUAAUGUUGAAAAAUUAGCGGAUGACUUGUGGCUGGGGGUGAAAGGCCAAUCAAACCGGGAGAUAGCUGGUUCUCCCCGAAAGCUAUUUAGGUAGCGCCUCGUGAAUUCAUCUCCGGGGGUAGAGCACUGUUUCGGCAAGGGGGUCAUCCCGACUUACCAACCCGAUGCAAACUGCGAAUACCGGAGAAUGUUAUCACGGGAGACACACGGCGGGUGCUAACGUCCGUCGUGAAGAGGGAAACAACCCAGACCGCCAGCUAAGGUCCCAAAGUCAUGGUUAAGUGGGAAACGAUGUGGGAAGGCCCAGACAGCCAGGAUGUUGGCUUAGAAGCAGCCAUCAUUUAAAGAAAGCGUAAUAGCUCACUGGUCGAGUCGGCCUGCGCGGAAGAUGUAACGGGGCUAAACCAUGCACCGAAGCUGCGGCAGCGACGCUUAUGCGUUGUUGGGUAGGGGAGCGUUCUGUAAGCCUGUGAAGGUGUCCUGUGAGGCUUGCUGGAGGUAUCAGAAGUGCGAAUGCUGACAUAAGUAACGAUAAAGCGGGUGAAAAGCCCGCUCGCCGGAAGACCAAGGGUUCCUGUCCAACGUUAAUCGGGGCAGGGUGAGUCGACCCCUAAGGCGAGGCCGAAAGGCGUAGUCGAUGGGAAACAGGUUAAUAUUCCUGUACUUGGUGUUACUGCGAAGGGGGGACGGAGAAGGCUAUGUUGGCCGGGCGACGGUUGUCCCGGUUUAAGCGUGUAGGCUGGUUUUCCAGGCAAAUCCGGAAAAUCAAGGCUGAGGCGUGAUGACGAGGCACUACGGUGCUGAAGCAACAAAUGCCCUGCUUCCAGGAAAAGCCUCUAAGCAUCAGGUAACAUCAAAUCGUACCCCAAACCGACACAGGUGGUCAGGUAGAGAAUACCAAGGCGCUUGAGAGAACUCGGGUGAAGGAACUAGGCAAAAUGGUGCCGUAACUUCGGGAGAAGGCACGCUGAUAUGUAGGUGAAGUCCCUCGCGGAUGGAGCUGAAAUCAGUCGAAGAUACCAGCUGGCUGCAACUGUUUAUUAAAAACACAGCACUGUGCAAACACGAAAGUGGACGUAUACGGUGUGACGCCUGCCCGGUGCCGGAAGGUUAAUUGAUGGGGUUAGCCGCAAGGCGAAGCUCUUGAUCGAAGCCCCGGUAAACGGCGGCCGUAACUAUAACGGUCCUAAGGUAGCGAAAUUCCUUGUCGGGUAAGUUCCGACCUGCACGAAUGGCGUAAUGAUGGCCAGGCUGUCUCCACCCGAGACUCAGUGAAAUUGAACUCGCUGUGAAGAUGCAGUGUACCCGCGGCAAGACGGAAAGACCCCGUGAACCUUUACUAUAGCUUGACACUGAACAUUGAGCCUUGAUGUGUAGGAUAGGUGGGAGGCUUGGAAGUGUGGACGCCAGUCUGCAUGGAGCCGACCUUGAAAUACCACCCUUUAAUGUUUGAUGUUCUAACGUUGACCCGUAAUCCGGGUUGCGGACAGUGUCUGGUGGGUAGUUUGACUGGGGCGGUCUCCUCCUAAAGAGUAACGGAGGAGCACGAAGGUUGGCUAAUCCUGGUCGGACAUCAGGAGGUUAGUGCAAUGGCAUAAGCCAGCUUGACUGCGAGCGUGACGGCGCGAGCAGGUGCGAAAGCAGGUCAUAGUGAUCCGGUGGUUCUGAAUGGAAGGGCCAUCGCUCAACGGAUAAAAGGUACUCCGGGGAUAACAGGCUGAUACCGCCCAAGAGUUCAUAUCGACGGCGGUGUUUGGCACCUCGAUGUCGGCUCAUCACAUCCUGGGGCUGAAGUAGGUCCCAAGGGUAUGGCUGUUCGCCAUUUAAAGUGGUACGCGAGCUGGGUUUAGAACGUCGUGAGACAGUUCGGUCCCUAUCUGCCGUGGGCGCUGGAGAACUGAGGGGGGCUGCUCCUAGUACGAGAGGACCGGAGUGGACGCAUCACUGGUGUUCGGGUUGUCAUGCCAAUGGCACUGCCCGGUAGCUAAAUGCGGAAGAGAUAAGUGCUGAAAGCAUCUAAGCACGAAACUUGCCCCGAGAUGAGUUCUCCCUGACUCCUUGAGAGUCCUGAAGGAACGUUGAAGACGACGACGUUGAUAGGCCGGGUGUGUAAGCGCAGCGAUGCGUUGAGCUAACCGGUACUAAUGAACCGUGAGGCUUAACCUU